rnacentral:rRNA from 1 species
AAGUGUUAGUUCAGGAAACGAAACUGCGAACAGCUCAUUAGCACACUUUGAAUCUAAUUGAUUGCGACUUCAAAGUCUUAUAUGGAUAGCAGGAGUAAUUCUCGUGCUAAUACAUGCGAUUGUUUCACCUUAAGUGAGCUCAGGUGGAAAAGUUGACCUUCCCAGGCGAAUCAUUGGGGGGAGUGUCCUAUCAGCUAGUACUUAGGAUCUUUACCUAGGUAGGCGAUCACGGGUAACGGGCGGUCACCGUCGGACUGCCGGAGAAGGCGCCUGAGAGAUAGCGACUAUGCCUACGGGCAGCAGCAGGCGCGAAACUUACCCACUCGAGACUAUCGGAGGUGGUAAUGACCAGUUGCAUUAUGAGCAUUAGCUCAUUUGCAUAGGAUGACAGUUUUCCACUGUCAUGCAAUCUAGCAGAGGGCCAGUCUGGUGCCAGCAGCUGCGGUAAUUCCAGCUCUGCGAGUUUGCUCCCAUAUUGUUGCAGUUGAAACGCCCGUAGUCUGAGCUCUUAAUGUAAAACAUAUAUAUGUGUUCACUGUGAACAAAUCAGGACGCUUAGGGUAUGGCACACAGGAAUGACCUAGCGCAGUAUGAGACCUUUGCUUCACAUGGAGCAAGGUCAAAGAGAGCCAUCGGGGGUAGUUCUAUUUCAUGGCGAGUGGUAAAAUACUCUGACCCAUGAGAGAGGAUCUAAAGCGGAAGCAGCUACCUAGAGGGUUUCUGUCGAUCAAAGGGCGAGAGUAGGAGUAUCGAACCGGAUUAGAGACCCGGGUAGUUCCUACAGUAAACGAUGCUGACAGGGGCUUGUUCUAUACGGAGCAGGACCUUAGGAGAAAUCAUAGUUCAUGGGCUCUGGGGGAACUACGACCGCAAGGCUGAAACUUGAAGGAAUUGACGGAAGGGCACACCAGGGGUGGAGCCUGUGGCUUAAUUUGAAUCAACACGGGGAAACUUACUAGGACCAGGUGAUUAUAGUGACUGACAGCUUACCGAGCUUUCAGGAUAUGUCUUUUGGUGGUGCAUGGCCGUUGGUGGCGCGUGGGUUGACCUGUCUUGCGUUGAUUCAGCUAACGAGCGAGAUUAUCGCCAACUAUUAGUAGUUGGGACUCCCCGUCAUUAAACGGGAGGAAGAGGGUAGCAAUAACAGGUCCGUGAUGUCCUUUAGAUGCCCUGGGCUGCACGCGUGCUACAAUGUGAGAAGCAAAGGGUUUUAGCGACCUCCAGCGAGGGAGCUACUCUCCAAUAUCUCACGUAGUUGGGAUUGACGGUUGUAAUCACCGUCAUGAACCAGGAAUCCCUUGUAAAUGUGUGUCAACAUCGCACGUUGAAUACGUCCCUGCCCUUUGUGCACACCGCCCGUCGCUCCUACCGAUUGGAUGACUUGGUGAAAACGCCAGACCUUAUUUAGGAAAGGCAUUUAAAUCACGCUAUUUA